rnacentral:rRNA from 1 species
GUGGGGAAUCUUGCGCAAUGGGCGAAAGCCUGACGCAGCAACGCCGCGUGCGGGAUGAAGGCCUUCGGGUUGUAAACCGCUUUUAACAGGAACGAAAAUGACGGUACCUGCAGAAUAAGGUGCGGCCAACUACGUGCCAGCAGCCGCGGUGACACGUAGGCACCAAGCGUUGUCCGGAUUUAUUGGGCGUAAAGAGCUCGUAGGCGGUUCAGGUAGUCGGGUGUGAAAACUCUGGGCUCAACCCAGAGACGCCACCCGAUACUCCUGUGACUAGAGUUCGGUAGGGGAGCGGGGAAUUCCUAGUGUAGCGGUGAAAUGCGCAGAUAUUAGGAGGAACACCGGUGGCGAAGGCGCCGCUCUGGGCCGAUACUGACGCUGAGGAGCGAAAGCGUGGGUAGCAAACAGGAUUAGAUACCCUAGUAGUCC